UCGGAAUUACUGGGCGUAAAGCGAGUGUAGGUGGCUCAUUAAGUCACAUGUGAAAUCCCCGGGCUUAACCUGGGAACUGCAUGUGAUACUGGUGGUGCUAGAAUAUGUGAGAGGGAAGUAGAAUUCCAGGUGUAGCGGUGAAAUGCGUAGAGAUCUGGAGGAAUACCGAUGGCGAAGGCAGCUUCCUGGCAUAAUAUUGACACUGAGAUUCGAAAGCGUGGGUAGCAAACAGGAUUAGAUACCCUGGCAGUCCACGCCGUAAACGAUGU
rnacentral:rRNA from 1 species